AAAAAAAUUAAUUAAUUAAGCUAAGAAGCUCUUUGUCAAAAAAAAAAAACUCUUUAACAGUUUAACCCAACUCACGAACCUCCUGAGUCAUACAGAGAACGAAAGUAGAAGAAAUCGUUGAUUGAUUGAUUGAUAAACAAGUCGAGAGAGAAACCACCAACGACUGUGCAGUUCCUUUCCGUCGCACUUGCAACCGCAAAGCGAACAGAUUGAUAGCUCCGAUCUCAACCAUGGCGAUGACCGUACACG
rnacentral:lncRNA from 1 species